CCUACGGGUGACAGCAGUGGGGAAUAUUGGGCAAUGGGCGCAAGCCUGACCCAGCAACGCCGCGUGAAGGAAGAAGGCUUUCGGGUUGUAAACCUCUUUUGCCGGGGAGCAACGGGCGUCACGUGUGGCGCCACUGAGAGUACCCGGAGAAAAAGCAUCGGCUAACUCCGUGCCAGCAGCCGCGGUAAUACGGAGGAUGCGAGCGUUAUCCGGAUUUAUUGGGUUUAAAGGGUGCGUAGGCGGAUCGUUAAGUCAGUGGUCAAAUUGAGGGGCUCAACCCCUUCCCGCCAUUGAAACUGGCGCUCUUGAGUGGAAGAGAAGUAUGCGGAAUGCGUGGUGUAGCGGUGAAAUGCAUAGAUAUCACGCAGAACCCCGAUUGCGAAGGCAGCAUGCCGGCUUCCGACUGACGCUGAAGCACGAAAGCGUGGGGAUCGAACAGGAUUAGAUACCCCAGUAGUC
rnacentral:rRNA from 1 species